GGGGCUAUAGCUCAGCUGGGAGAGCGUGUGACUGGCAGUCACAAGGUCGGCGGUUCGAUCCCGCCUAGCUCCACCA
rnacentral:tRNA from 1 species